UAUUCUGCCCCACGGGGAAGGAUGAGAAGCUUCGACCAAGGUUCGACUCGAGCGAAGCGAGAGAACGUUGCCGCAGGCAANUGGCCCGAAGGCGAGGCGCUUUAGCGCCGAGUAAUCCUUACCCCACCACUG
rnacentral:sRNA from 1 species